rnacentral:lncRNA from 1 species
CCCAUUUCAAUCAACAUCUAACAAUCCAACCUUCUCUGCUACAAAGAAAACACCUUAAACUUCUGAUAUCAAGAAACAAAAAUGGCGUUCAACACGAAGCUUCUUUUGGCCAUCUGCUGCGUCUCAUUGGUCUUCACUCUUGUCUCUGCAAACAUUUCCCAAGCAGAGAUCGAUGGCUUCCUCGAGGAGCACAACAAGGCUCGUAAAGAGGUCGGCAACAAACCCCUUAAGUGGAACACAACCUUGGCCCAGUAUGCCCAAGAAUAUGCCAACAAAAGAGUUGACGACUGCGCUAUGGAGCACUCAAGGGGGCGUUGGGGUGAGAACUUGACAUCGGGCGACGGCAUGACCGGAGCAGCUGGCACUAAAUAUUGGGUCACUGAGAAAGAGUUCUAUGACCCCAAGUCCAACAAAUGUGUCAAAGAGGAAUGUGGUCACUACCUUGCUGUGAUAUGGGGCAAAACCACUGAGGUCGGAUGUGGCAUUUCAAAGUGCAAGGAUGGGAAGAACUACAUCGUUUGCAGCUAUGAUCCCAUGUACCAACCCGAGGACGAGCGCCCAUACUAGAUGAUGUAUGUACGCACACUUACAUGAGGCCCGUUGAGAGGUCCCGUGUUUUUUUUUUUUUUUUUUUUUUUUCGAGCGCCCAUACUUGAUAUGGUAUUGUGAGAGGUGACAAGAGAAUGGAUAAAAAAUGAAAAGAAUAAUAUUAUUUCAUUUUUGUAAUUUCUAACUAAAUAUUAUCUCGUUCUCUUUAUUUUUUUCUUUUGUUUUUGCUCAAUCUCAAUUGUCUAAUGCCUCCCCAUCUCGCAUUUGUCUUUAAUUUAUUAAAAACAAUACGACAAAUGUGAUAUCAAAAGGAUGUUAAGUGUAUGUUUGGUAUUCUAUUUGAACAGUCCUGAUCUCUUGGACCCCUGUAGUCCAAGAGAUUUAUGGUCACUCACCGUUGGAUGUAAAUUCAACGGUUCACUCAUUUAUGACUUGAAUCGGGUAAUAAUCAUUUAUGUCAUAUUGCAUUUAUAUAUAUCAUUUUGAACCAUUGGAUUAAUAUCCAACGGUGGGUGACCACAAUCUCUUGGACUACAGGGGUCCAAGAGAUCACGCAAAUACUUAAAACCACGCAAAUACUUAAAACCUAAACAAAUCGUUUUUUUAAGAAUUUUUACUACAAACUGUUUUUAAUCUUAAAGUAUGGAUUUUAGAACUCCUUGUUUUUAAAGUUUGAAUUCCCUCCAUAAAUACCAAACAAGUUUUUGAAUCUUAAAAAUUUGAUUUUAGAACUCUUUGUUUUUAAGAAAAAUUAUAGUUUUUGAAUUUAAUACUUGAAUAGAUACCAAACGCCACAUGAGAUUUUCUUGUUCAUGGAUGCAUGUGUUUGCAUGCACCGUUUCUUUAAGUAUAUAUGAGAUUUUUUGAAUUGAGAUUUGUAGACCAAUUUGAUUGUGGGUUGUAUCAUAACUAGGGACGAUCCUUAGUAAAGAUUAACUUGGGCUAUAGCCCAUGUGUGGUUUUUUUUCUUAGCCCAACAUUUAUAUUACAACCCACUGAAGCCUACAAAUAAUACUUCUUUACACAUAAUUCACGUAAGGUAAAUUUAGUCCAUCUCAUUAUCUAUGUUUAUAAAGCAAAAGACAGAGAAUUGUGAAACAUUCAAAAUACCAAAAAAUACCCUUAGUUAAUUGACACAUUAAGAAUUGAAAUUAUUAAUUAAAUGAGGAUAAUACGGUAAAUUCACAUUUUUUUAUUAAAAAAAUUAAAAUUAAAAACAAAAUCAUAUAAUAUGUCAUACUUUUGUAGAACAAAACUAUCCAUGUUAUUUUUUUUUAUAUUAAAAAUAAAAUAAAAAAUAAAAAAGAAAACCAAUUGGUACACGCGUGAGCAUGUGCCAAGAGGCUAGUAAAUAUAACAAAUCUUGUAUGAUAUCUUAUACCAUUUCAAGUCAGAUUAGAACUUCAUAUGACUGGAAGCUAAAGUUUAAAAGAACACUUAUGGUAAAGGUUGAAAUGUCACCUAACUUUUUAUUCAAGAUCUCAAAGAAUUUUUGGAUUAAAACGCUUCGUCAAGAUUGUUGGUGCAGUGAUUAGAGGUAGGAACUUGGAUUGCUUUAUGUCAUUAUAGAUUUUGAAAAUUUGAAUGUGUUGGUUGUAAAUAUAUGUUAUCAAUUAUGUCUAUGUUUUUUUUCAUCUUCAAGUGAGGGAAGAAUCGAAUUUAAGAAUUCUUAUAUUGGAAAGAAAAAUACAACUAGACAAAAACCUAACCGGUUUAUCCAAAAUUUUAAUAAGGGACUAAUUAUCCGUUACUUUGGUAAGAAACAUAAGGCUAAACAACCGUCACUACUAGACAACGGUCUUAAAACAUCAAUCCUUGCAAGACCAUACUCAAAUUGAAGCUUGUAACCUUAGCUUUCUAUACAUAUAAAGAUAUGUGAAAACAGAGCUAUGGUUAGUGAGAAAUUCGAAUCCAAAGACAAACCCAAAAAUUUGAAUUUUCGUUUUCCAGCUUCCUCCGUUUGGGCAGUUUUGAAAACAUAACUUCACUCCAAUAUUUAAUCCCCCAAAACUUAAACAAAAUCAGUGAAGUCAAAAGGGUUUUGACCCUUGCUAUGCCUAGUUUCCAAAACAUGAAAAACCUUUCAAAAAUUCAUAAAUCCGAGGAACAUUAGAGCCACAGUAAGGCCCAUGAACUGAAAUUUCCAAAAAUAUACGAAGUUUCAGAAUUUUAUCAAGAGUCUCUUUCAACACCUCAGAUACCAUCCUUAAGACUCGAAAUCAUACUCCAACAUCAUUUCCUUGACCUAAGCUUCCCAAAAACAAGAUUUGGAUUUAAAGUUUGAACACCCAAACCCAAAAAAAUUUAAACACACCCAAAAUCCGAUAAUCUUGAUUUCAAAAUUCUUCUUUGAUUUUCUUAUGCCUCAGAAGGUUCAAAAAUCAUUCUCAAACUCAGUUACAACUAUAAAUCUACUCAAACAAUUAAUUAUACCAAAACUCAAGGAUUGCAAAUGAACUUAGAACAAGAGUCCCACCUUUCAUCCUUCCAAUUGUUUCAAUAUUUCCACUAUUUUCUUUUCUACCUCUCACAUUUGCUUUCUUAAUUCUCUCAUGGAUGUAAUAGUAAUAACAUCUCCCUUAUUUCCAAGUCUCCUCCUCCUCCUCCUCCUCCUGUUCUUCUUCUUCUUCUUCUUCUUCUUCUUCUUCUUCUUCUUCUUCUCUCUCUCUCUCUCUCUCUCUCUCUCUCACACACACACACACACACACACACACACCAGAAACUCACUUAGCUCUAAAAGAAAUCAGAUUCAUCAUAGGGGAAUCUUAGCCUCGGUGACUCACCCUCUAGUAGCCUUCCAACUCACACCUUAAGCUAAUGACUCACUUAUACCAACUCAUCCCCAAAAUGAUUAUUGAUUUGAAAACUUGAGGCAAUGGGGAAAGAAUGGGUGGAGAGUCGGCUGAUGCCCUCCACGUUUCAAUUUUUUCUUUUUUUGGGUCCACAAGGGUAUUUUGGUAAUUUUCACACAUACGGGUAUUUUUUGUCAUUUUGGCAAAAAAAUGUAGAAAUGAUUUCCCACGUGUUCAUUGAGUCGACUACUAUCGUCCUACCCAAGAAUCAGAAUGGUCUCACUUCAAUUUCGUAAAAAUGUCCUUUGAAAAAUUCACAAAAUGUUAUGUAAAGGCAUUUAUGUCCAACUUGAAAUUAAACACACUAAAUCCAGUAGUCUCAAUCCAAAAUUACUUGAUAAAAUACCCAUAAUCAUUCUCCACUAUAGUAUUAUUUUUCACCGAAAUAUGAAAGUCCACCCUUAAUUUUUCAGGGUAUUACAGAAAACUAGUGUAAUAACCCAAAACAAAAUAUUAAGAAAAUAACAAAAUAUCUAAAAAGUAGGAAUAAUAUCUUCUAGCGAAAAGACAAUUUUGCCCUCGCAUUAUUUAAUAGGGAAAAAGUUGACUUUUUGAUCGAGAAAGAAUUUGGCAAUUCUGCUUGCGCCGUUGCGUAGAGCACGGCGAAAGGAGUCUGUAGACACGGAGUAGACCCGAAUCGGAGUUGUAACGAAGAAGAUACGAUCAAAAUACUGCGAAGGGCAAAAUGAUAAUUUGGUCAAAAAGUCAGAUUUUUAUCUCUUCUCUCUCCUCUCUCCCGUCAGCUUUCUCUCUCCUCUCUCUCUCUCCCUCCCGCGCGACUCCAGUGACCUCUCUCCCUUCCGAUCGAGACAGCGGCCACCACAGGCCGUCUCGAUCUCCACCGUUAGUCCCAAUAGCUCCGCCACUCACCCGCCGUUCUUCCCCGACCAACCUCAGCCGCGGGGACGCCAGAAACUGACCGGAAUCUGCCAUUGUCUGCCGAUUUCCAAUUUAAACUUCCAGCUCGUUUUUCUCCUUCAAUUCUCCACCAAAUCGAUUGAUUAAGGUAUGAUCUCUCAGCUAUUUUUCAUGUUCUAGCUGAUGGAUGUAUGGGUUUCGAUCGAUUGUAGCUCUAACACGUUCGAUUUUCGACUUGAAAUUUGGCCGAAACUUCGGCAGCCGUGAUCUACUGUUUUCGAUCACUUUUUGAGGUAUGUCCAAGAACAAAAGUGCCUCCAAAUGGGGUGUUUUACCUAGGAUAGGAGUUUGGAGUCUUGGUUCCAAGAUUUUUCGACCACCCGAAAUUGCUUUGGACACCCGAAUCUGCCCGCGCGUGAGGCAGAACGUGGGAGAGGAUGGUGAAGUGACUCUAGACAGUUUUGAGAUCCUCGUGUCGUCACUAGCGCCUAAAAUUUUGCGGAUCUCGAUUCGGAGUCCGUUUGAGCCCCGAACGGAUUUUUCAUAUCGCGCGAUCUUCGGGCACUGUGCCUUUAAAUCGUUGGAUCGCACUGAAUUUCAGGAUCGUGUAAGAUUCGAAGGAUUGUGAAUCAGAGACCCGGAUACCCCGAAAUCGCGAACCCUGGGGCUAGGGUUUGAAUGUAAGGAACCUUCAGAGAAGCCCAGAUUGGCCAUCGGAGACCGUGGACCCACGUGGUUCUGGAUCGGCCGAUCUGGCAGCUUAUCGCUUAGUGAGGCUUCGGGUCUCUUGAGACCGUUCUAACUAUCUAAAAAGCUAAGGUGGGCAUACGAGUAACUUGAAAUGAGUGCACGUAUUUCUAGGAGCCGGGGGCAAUGUGUUUAAUUUAAAUUCUUUUUAUUUAGCAGAUUAUUAAUUUAAUAUUCAUGGUUAAUCAGGCACCAGAGGUCCGAUCGACCCACAUGAGGGACCUUCGAAGGGUUCAACUAGCUCGGACCACCAGUGAGUGGACUUUCUUUCAUGAAUGAUUUUAUAUAAAUGAGUUAUAUAAAUGAUUUAUAUAAAUAAGUUUACUUAAAUGAUUUUAUAUUGAUUUUAUAUAAAUAAGCUUUUAUAAAUUAGUUUAAUUGAAUAAGUUUUAUGAACUGUUUCUUUCAAGCAUGAUUUGUACUGUUAAGUAUUUUGAUCUACGUGAUGCUUAGUUACUGAAGCUCUAGUAAUAUAAAAAGCAGAGUUUGAGAACUUUACCAGAGGAGAUAGUAGUUAAGUUUCAGAUUUACUGAGAUGCAGUGAGUUAUUAGAUUUUUCUCAAAAUAGUUUAUUUUAAAACCACCGUGUAUCCGCCUUUUUAUUUGGUGAUUACCCUCAAACGGACCGAUGUCUACGGACAUCCAGUCUGUUUACAAUUUAGUCAGUGCACUUGACUUUGCCUCACGAGUUACGGGGACGCUCGGACCGUGAGUGCCAGGAUUUGCGGCUCGGCAGACUUGGUGUCCCGAGACCUGCCAGGAUUUGCGGCUCGGCUGACUUCGUGUCCCCGAGACCUGCCAGGAUUGCGGAUCAGGCUGACUACGGUCCCCUGUAUCUUGCUAGAGCGGCUCGAGUCGACUUGGUGUCAUCGAGACCUGCCGGUGGAUCAGGCUGAUCAUAGUCCCUGAUUUCGCCAGUUUGCAGCUCGGGUAGACUACGUGACGCCCAAGACCUGCCAGGGGAAUUGACGGAUAUGACAGGGGUACAAAUAGGUGGUAGUUUCAAUGGAUUUUGAGUUAUUUUAUCCAGUUAUGAUUUUCAGUUAUUUUAUACCAGUUUCUUUAAUAUUCGCGCAUUUAUAUCUUUAUAUAAUUGUUCAGUUUUACGAAUCUAUAUACGUACGAUUAUAUAUAUAUUUAGAUGAAUACUUUAUAUUAAACAUAGGUGAACUUUAGCUUUACUUAUCAAGUUAUUUUUAAACGGGGGUUAUUAUGGUUAUAAAUUGUUUUCAAGAACAUUAUUUUUGUCCACUCACAUUUUCAAUCGGUUUUUCGCCCCGAGGCCAUAGAAGUGCGAGGGAUUCCACCACCGGGCCAUUCAUAGCUUCCGCGCCACCAAAAGAGGUAGAGUUUUGUAGAAAAACCCUUGAAACCUUGUAAACUUUAGAAAAUGCUCUGAUAUCUAGUUUUAGUGGAAAACUGGAGCUGGUGAAUACUUGGUUAUUCAAUUCUGGCAGUUGGUGUAUAAUUAUUUGAUUGUUUGACAGGUGGAAAAAUUUGGGUUUGGUCAAAAUACAGGGGAGACUCUGCCGAAUUUUCGGCAGGAGUCCAAAGAAAAUUUUAAUAGUAAUUGUAGUAGGAAGGGUAAAAUAGUCAUUUGUGCCCGACAGUUGCCAGAUGUCGGACACGUACAGGGCUUGGUUCAAAUUCCAAAGUGGAAUUAGGAUCGGGUCCUGUCAAUUUGGUAUCAGAGCAUAGGUUUUACUUCCUGUAGACUUUGCACUUUGUGCAUCCUCGUUUUCUUUUCAAAUUGGGCCCAGAUGGUGGUGGUAUCCGUAGGAAAAUUAGACAGAUAUCUCGAUGUAAGGAGAUGAGAUUUCUAAGUUGGAUAGGAACUGCACCGGUAUCUGAACCGGUAGAGUAAUCUGUUGUUAGUGGCUCGUCAGGAGUCGUAUUUAUUGCACCUAGUAGACGGGGAGAUCCAAAUGUCCAGUAGAUCUUGGAGGUAUUAGCUCAGGUUUUAGUCAGCCAGAGAUCCAUACGUGAGAUGGGUGGAUCAAGUAAAAAGGAUUGAGAGCUAUAAAUUUGGAUAAUGGUGGUACCCAGUAGUAAAGGAGAAUUACAUUAAAGGAAUGUAGUAGAUCGUGGAAGUCAUGGUUGUUCCACUGAAGAAGAGAGUAUUGGCGGGAUUUGUUUAAGAAGUGAUACCAGGAUACUAAUACGCAACAAGUAUUUUAGAACCGAAUUUGAUAGUCAGUAUUAUCUACAAGUCUACAGAAGGUGUGGAUGCAAGAGUUUUUGCUGCAGAAUAGAGGAUAAUGACUGGAUCAGGAUAUGAGAAAAAGGUUUCACGUAUUGUUUCUACUAAUAGAGAUUGGAAAGUAAGAGGUAGUACCUAGUUGCGAUAAGGUUAAAAGCCUCCAUUCAAGAUAUUGUGAUUAGUUAGCAGUUGGUUAAUUUUGGUGUCGAGGUGAUGCCUGCCCCAGCCAGAUAAUGGGUAGACCAUGGGGUACGCUCUGCGCACAGUAUUUGGAUGAAGGUAAUACUAAACAGGAAGAAUUUAAGAGAGGUAAUUACAGUAGUGAUUACUGUUUCCAAUCAUCGAAUGGUCGCAGGUUUGGAGGUUGCCAACCUGGAUUUAGUUCCAGUGAAAGUACCAGUUAGGGUAAUAAUAUUGGAAAUCGUUCUGGGCUGGUGCAGCCAGGAGUAUUGGAAGACAAUUGUUGUCAGACUGUAACAGGAGAAGUUACCCUAAUGUGCCAGGUGUGGUAGGCAGUAUUCCGGGCCCUGCUAGAAGAGUACUACUGGAAGAUAAUAUUAUGGACAGUCUAAAUCUUUUCAAAAAAGGUUGCCGCUGUUCCCUUAGUAUAAAAAGAUUAUUUCUGCAAUGAAACAAGUAUGCAAGGUAAGUUAUAGGAAAUACCACAGUUGGUGAAGCUCUGUUUAGCAAUGGACCCAGAUCAGUAUGGCUAAUUGAGGAAGCAGUCAGCUGAAGGGAUGUAGUAACAGUUUUAAACCUGCAGAUAGAUAGUAUAACCUGACUCAGUAGGAAGCAUGAAUUGCUGCCAUUACAGAUUGAAUUUCCCUUCGGCAUGGUUAACUGGAGAUCAUCCUAGGAUUGGAUUGAUUUGGCCGGAUACCGUACCUCAAAGCUAUCUUUCAUUGGGGAAUCAAGUUUAUUCUUGAGCUCGUUCCAGGAAUGGAGCUUAUUUCUCGGGUAAAGUACAAAAUGACACCAGUAAGUUGAAGGAGUUAAAGACUAAAUUGCUGGAAUUGAUAGCAAGAAGGGUCAUUCAGCUUAGUUUGUUCCUCAUUGAAGUGUUCUAGUGUUAUUUAAGGAAGGAGAUAUCAUCAUGAAGUUAUGCAUGGACUCAGGGUAACUGGAUAAGAUGACGUCUAUGGUUUCACAGUAAGGAAUUGUUUAAUAAGCUAAAGAGUGCCAAGGGGUUUUCUGAAAAGUGACUUGAGGCUUGGAUAGCUCCAGUAACGAGUCAGAAAGGAAUAUGUACCAAAAACAGCGUGUUGAAUGAGGUAUGGGGACUCUGAGUUCCUGGUCAUACUAUAAAGAAUUUAAGGAUGUGCCAGUGGUAUUUUGGACCCCCCGUGAACAGAAUGUUCGGGCUGUAUUGAGAUCGCCUCAUGAUUAUGUAGCUAGAUAACCUUUGGGUGUAUUCUAAGAAACAGAAGGCAGAUGUGAAGUAUGUAAACAUUGGGUGGUGGACUCUGAGAAGGCAGUAACUUUAUGCCAAGCUCAGCAAGUGUGCGUGUUGGAGGGACAGAGUGAGUUUCUUGGGACACAUGAUUGCGGUUGAGAGUAUUUUGUUGAUCCUCAAGGAUUGAAGCAGUAGCGAAAUUCGUUACGACCAAUCAGUGCUACAAAGGUACAGAGUUUUCUAGAUAAGUCGAUUUUUACUGUCACCCUGUGGAAAGGUUAUUCACCAAGGCGACACCGCUCAUCUUUUUAGCAAAGAAAAAAAUUACAUGGGUGUGGUCAGACCAGUGAAGAGGAUGAUGUUAAACAUAAGAACAGGCCAAUUACUACUUCGAUUUCAGUACUGCAGGAGGUUAGUGGGAACUUGGUAUGCUACAGUAAUGUUUGUCAUAAGAAUUGAGGUUUGUGCUGAUACAGUAUGGUAAAAUGAGCACUUAUGUGAUUUAACAAUUGUGGAAGCAUAAAUCAAAGUAUUCUAUUCACUAUUUGGAACAGGCCACAGUAAUUUUGGCCUAACAGGUUGCUGACAGUAUUUUUAUGAGGAAAUAUGCCAGAUCUUUACAGAUCGCAAGAGGUUACAAAAUUUCUUUAUACAAAAGGAAGAAAACUUAAGACAGAGAAAAUUGUCAAAGGUUAUAGAUACACUCAGUAUGAAAUCCUCAGGAGAAGUGGCUUAUUUCCGAAGGAGAUAGAUUAUCAGCGAUAGUAGUACAAAAGUUGAGCUGGAUACAAAUAUUCAGGAAACACUGUUAAUUACUUGUCAGGAAAAAUCAGUGCUAAAGAACUCGGAUAUUCGCAGGUUAAUUCCAGGAUCUUGAUUUGAUUUUUAUGAGUAAAAGGGUUGAAUUACAUGACACGAGGAGCAAAGGUUUAAAAUGGAGAUCUUACAAGGAGUUUCUUAUGAUGAAAGGAACAGUAUAAAUUGUCAGCAAGGAAUAGCUCAGUGACAGGAAUCAACAAGGUUCUUGCAACCACUUCCAAAUUCUGAAGGAAGGCUAAAGUAACUUACGGUGGAUUUUGUGUUCAGCCUCCUUGAACAUAGAGGAAGCAGAGUGGAGUGUAGGAAAUUAAGGAUCGAUUCAGUAAGUCUGUGUAUGUUCUGCAGGUGAAAGCCAAGUAUAGUCUGAAUAAACUGGCAAGGAUUUUCACAGAUAAGAUCUUGCGACACUAUGGAAUACCAAUCCCUAUGGUUUAGAUCAAGAAAUCCAGGUUAUGUUCCAAUUGGACUCAGCUAAAGGAAGCUUUUGAAAAUUGAUUACAGUUUAAUACUACAAUUCACACUAGACAGAUGACCAGCUUAAGAAAAUGACUCAAACUGUAGAAAGGUUAUUAAGACAUGGUAUAUUACAGUUUCAGAAGGAUUUGGGUGAAAAGAUACCGGUUUGAGAGUGUGCCUUAAGUGAUAGUUGUCAGACUUCCUCGGAUUACAAAUCUAAAAUUAGCUAUUGGUAUCUAUAACUAAAAUGUUUCCAAUUGCUGCUUUAUACGAGACAUAGUAUGAACCACCCAAGUAUGAAGAUGAAAUGUUAAGCAAGGUUUAUUGAAAUCUGAAAGAGUUGAAGGAAACAAAGAACCUUAUUGAAUUAAGCAGAGAAAGACUCAAGCGACCCAGGAUUGGCAAGGAGUUAUGUAGAUACUAGAAGAAGGAGCUUCAGUUGGGUAUUCUUCAACAUUUAUUGCUUUAAGAAGGUGAAAUGAGAUUUAAGGAAGCAAGGGAGCCAAAUCCUAGCUAUAUCGGACCCAAUGAGAUUAUAGAAUGUGUGGGAAACAAGCAGUUCAGAUUUUGGAAUAGGAAGUGUCCAGCUUUCAGUGAUACAUGCUGUGUAAUGACCUGAGUUGCAGAUACAGGAGCAAUCCUUCCCCUCUUUGAAUGACAAGGAUGUAAAUUUCGAGGACGAAAUUUUUAUAAGGGGGGUAGAUUGUAAUAACCCAAAACAAAAUAUUAAGAAAAUAACAAAAUAUCUAAAAAGUAUGAAUAAUAUCUUCUAGCGAAAAGACAAUUUUGCACUCGCAUUAUUUAAUAGGGAAAAGUUGACUUUUUGAUCGAGAAAGAAUUUGGCAAUUCCGCUUGUGCCAUUGUGUAGAGCACGGCAAAAGGAGUCUGUAGACACGGAGUAGACCCGAAUCGGAGUUGUAACGAAGAAGAUACGAUCAAAAUACUGCGAAGGGCAAAACAGUAAUUUGGUCAAAAAGUCAGAUUUUUAUCUCUUCUCUCUGCUCUCUCCCAUCAGCUUUCUCUCUCCUCUCUCUCUCUCCCUCCCGCGCGACUCUAGUGACCUCUCUCCCUUCCGAUCGAGACAGGGGCCACCACAGGCCGUCUCGAUCUCCGUCGUUGGUCCCAAUAGCUCCGCCAAUCCCCCGCCGUUCUUCUCCGACCAACCUCAGCCGCGGGGACGCCGAAAACUGGCCGGAAUCUGCCAUUGUUUGCCGAUUUCCAGUUCACACUUCCAGCUCGUUUUUCUCCUUCAAUUCUCCACCAAAUCGAUCGAGUAAGGUAUGGUUUCUCAGCUAUUUUUCGUGUUCUAGCUUAUGGAUGUAUGAGUUUCGAUCGGUUUUAGCUCUAACACGUUCGAUUUUCAACUUGUAAUUUGGCCAAAACUUCGGCCGCCGUGAUCUACUGUUUCCGGUCACUUUUUGGGGUAUGUCCAAGAACAAAAGUGACUCCAAAUGGGGUAUUUUACCUAGGAUAAGAGUUUGGAGUCUUGGUUCGGAGAUUGUUCGACCACCCGAAAUUGCUUUGGACACCCGAAUCUGCCCACGCUUGAGGCAGCGCGUGGGCGAGGGUGGUGAAGUGACUCUGGACAAUUUUGAGAUCCUCGUGUCGUCACGAGCACGUAGGAUUUCACGGAUCUCGAUUCGGAGUCCGUUUGAGCCCCGAACGAAUUUUUCAUAUCGGGCGAUCCUUGGGUGCAGUGUCGUUAAAUCGUUGGAUCGCACUGAAUUUUGGAUAUGUCGGUCUACACGAUUUCAGGAUUGUGUAGGAUUCGAAUACUCCGAAAUUGUGAACCCUGGGGCUAGGGUUUGAAUUUAAAGGGAUAACGCAAUUUUGGCCAAUCCGACCGUUCGUUUCGGACCAAAUUCGCGGAACGUGGUUCCUUCUCUGUAAGGAACCUUCAGAGAAGCCCAGAUUGGCCAUCGGAGACCGUGGACCCACGGGGUCCCGGAUCGGCCGAUCUGGCAGCUUAUCGCUUAGUGAGGCUUCGGGUCUCUUGAGACCGUUCUAACUAUCUAAAAAGCUAAGGUGGGCAUAGGAGUAACUUGAAACGAGUGCACGUAUUUCUAGGAGCCGAGGGCAAGGUGUUUAAUUUAAAUUCUUUUUAUUCAGCAGAUUAUUAAUUUAAUAUUCAUGGUUAAUCAGGCACCAGAGGUCCGAUCGACCCACAGGAGGGACCUUUAAAGGGUUCAACUAGCUCGGACCACCAGUGAGUGGACUUUCUUUCAUGAAUGAUUUUAUAUAAAUGAUUUAUAUAAAUAAGUUUACUUAAAUAAUUUUAUAUUGAUUUUAUAUAAAUAAGCUUUUAUAAAUGAGUUUAAUUGAAUAAGUUUUAUGAACUGUUUCUUUCAAGCAUGAUUUGUACUGUUAAGUAUUUUGAUCUACGUGAUGCUUAGUUACUGAAGCUCUAGUAAUAUAAAAAGCAGAGUUUGAGAACUUUACCAGAGGAGAUAGUAGUUAAGUUUCAGAUUUACUAAGAUGCAAUGAGUUAUUAGAUUUUUCUCAAAAUAGUUUAUUUUAAAACCACCGUGUACCCGCCUUUUUAUUUGGUGAUUACCCUCAGACGGACCGAUGUCUACGGACAUCCAGUCUGUUUACAGUUCAGUCAGUGCACUUGACUUUGCCUCAUGAGUUUCGGGGACGCUCGGACCGUGAGUGCCAGGAUUUGCGGCUCGGCAGACUUGGUGUCCCGAGACCUGCCAGGAUUGCGGCUCGGCUGACUCUGUGUCCCCGAAACCUGCCAGGAUUGCGGAUCAGGCUGACUACGGUCCCCUGUAUCUUGCUAGAGCGGCUCGAGUCGACUUGGUGUCAUCAAGACCUGCCGGCGGAUCAGGCUGAUCAUAGUCCCCUGAUUUCGCCAGUUUGCGGCUCUGGUAGACUACGUGACACCCGAGACCUGCCAGGGGAAUUGACGGAUAUGACAGGGGUACAAAUAGGUGGUAGUUUCAAAGGAUUUUGAGUUAUUUUAUCCAGUUAUGAUUUUCAGUUAUUUUAUACCAGUUUCUUUAAUAUUCGCGCAUUUAUAUCUUUAUAUAAUUGUUCAGUUUUACGAAUCUAUAUACAUACGAUUAUAUAUAUAUUUAGAUGAAUACUUUAUAUUAAACACAGGUGAACUUUAGCUUUACUUAUCAAGUUAUUUUUAAAUGGGGGUUAUUAUGGUUAUAAAUUGUUUUCAAGAACAUUAUUUUUGUCCACUCACAUUUUCAACCUGUUUUUCGCCCCCAGGCCAUAGAAGUGCGAGGGAUUCCACAACCGGGCCAUUCAUAGCUUCCGCGCCACCAAAAGAGGUAGAGUUUUGUAGAAAAACCCUUGAAACCUUGUAAACUUUAGAAAAUGCUCUGAUAUCUAGUUUUAGUGGAAAACUGGAGCUGGUGAAUACUUGGUUAUUCAAUUCUAGCAGUUGGUGUAUAAUUAUUUGAUUGUUUGACAGGUGGAAAAAUUUGGGUUUGGUCAAAAUACAGGGGAGACUCUGCCGAAUUUUCGGCAGGAGUCCAAAGAAAAUUUUAAUAGUAAUUGUAGCAGGAAGGCUAAAAUGGUCAUUUGUGCCCGACAGUUGCCAGAUGUCGGACACGUACAGGGCUUGGUUCGAAUUCCAAAGUGGAAUUAGGAUCGGGUCCUGUCAACUAGCAUGAGUUUUUCAUCACCCCAACAAUGCCAAUUUGAUCUAGGCAACUAGAGCGGAUGAGCCAAAGUUCUUGCAAGAUCAAGAGAUGCAAAACACGAGAAACAUUUUCCUCUAUAUCCAUAAUUAAUUGAAAUAAUGUCACUUUGGGUCCUUGUGGUUUGCCCGAUUUGUUUACCUUCGUCCAUGUAAUUUUAAUUUUGUAAAAUUUAAUCAGUGUAAUUUGAUCCUAUCACAUGUAAUUUUAAUUUUAUCAAUUUAAUCAAUGUAGUAUGAUUCCAUUACAAUUCAAAGACAAAUCCAAAUUUCCAUCCAAAAUACUCCUCCACGUAUGAGCAAGUGUUUAUUCCAUCAAGAAAUCGGACGGAAAUUUGGAAAUGUCCUUUAAAUUGCAAUAAAAUCAAACUACAUAGGUCAAAUUGCUAGAAUUGAAACUAUACGGACAGACGUGGAAAUUUCAUCAAACCAGAUGAAAAGUGAGUUUUUGCCUAACUAAUUUGCUUCCUCUUUCAUUUCUUUAUAUUUUGGAAAGCAACAUAAUGCAUUUAACUUUUAUUUUAAAAAGCUACAAGAAGUUGACAGAGGGGCCAUAUAACAAAGUUCGUUUAUAUCGUUAACAAAGUCAAAACUUUGAUCCUCAAUGUACAGCUGAAUGUUUUAGUUAUUGCAGCUAAAAAUCCCCACCUCAUUAUAGGAUUCAAAUAAAACUUCACUUCAUCAAUGGUAUAGAUUGAUUGUCUGACAAUACAAUGUUUGUAAGGAUACCAAAUUCACUCAGUGACACAAUUCCACAUAGGUUUUAUCUGUUCUCCAUGCUUGUUUAUAGAACUUAACAAACCCUCCAAUUUUAGGAUCCUAUAUUUAACCCUCCAAACUAUAUAAAUAUGAACAAUCUCAUUUCCCAUUUCAAUCAACAUCUAACAAUCCAACCUUCUCUGCUACAAAGAAAACACCUUAAACAUCUGAUAUCAAGAAACAAAAAUGGCGUUCAACACGAAGCUUCUUUUGGCCGUCUGCUGUGCCGCAUUGGUCUUCACUCUUGUCUCUGCAAACAUUUCCCAAGCAGAGAUCGAUGGCUUCCUCGAGGAGCACAACAAGGCUCGUAAAGAGGUCGGCAACAAACCCCUUAAGUGGAACACAACCUUGGCCCAAUAUGCCCAAGAAUAUGCCAACAAAAGAGUUGACGAUUGUGCUAUGGAGCACUCAAGAGGGCGUUGGGGUGAGAACUUGACCUCGGGCGACGGCAUGACCGGCGCUGCUGGCACUAAAUAUUGGGUCACCGAGAAAGAGUUCUAUGACCCCAAGUCCAACAAAUGUGUCAAAGAGGAAUGUGGUCACUACCUUGCUGUGAUCUGGGGCAAAACCACCGAGGUCGGAUGUGGCAUUUCAAAGUGCAAGGAUGGAAAGAACUACAUUGUUUGCAGCUACGAUCCCAUGUACCAGCCCGAGGACGAGCGUCCAUACUAGACGAUGUAUGUAUGCACACUUACAUGAGGCCUGUUGAGAGGUCCCGUGUUUUUUUUUUCUUUUGCUAUCGCACAUACUUGAUAUGGUAUUGUGAGAGGUGACAAGAGAAUGGAUAAAAAAUGAAAAGAAUAAUACUAGUUCAUUUUUGUAAUUUCUAACUGAAUAUUAUCUCAUUCUCCUUAUGUUUUUUUUUUUUUUGUGCUCAAUCUCAAUCAUCUAAUCCCUCCCAAUCUCGUAUUUGUCUUUAAUUUUUUUUUAUUUUUAAAUAUGACAAAUGUGAUAUCAAAAGGAUGUUAAGUGUAUGUUUGGUAUUCUAUUUGAAUUCAACUUUUUAAACUACAAACAAAUAAAUUGAGUCCAAAAUUCAAAAAAUAUGUUUCGUAUACCAAGUUACUCAAAACCACGCAAAUACUUAAAGCCCAAACAAAUCGGUUUUUUAAGACUUUUUACUACAAACUGUUUUUAAUCUUAAAGUAUGGAUUUUAGAACUCCUUGUUUUUAAAGUUUGAGUUCCCUCCUUGGAUACCAAACAAGUUUUUGAAUCUCA